rnacentral:rRNA from 1 species
UACGGAGGGUGCGAGCGUUGUUCGGAAUCACUGGGCGUAAAGCGCGUGUAGGCGGCCCACUAAGUCUGAUGUGAAAGCCCGGGGCUCACCCCCGGAAGUGCAUUGGAAACUGGUGGACUAGAGUCCCGGAGAGGAGAGUGGAAUUCCUGGUGUAGCGGUGAAAUGCGUAGAUAUCAGGAGGGACACCGGUGGCGAAGGCGGCAUCCUGGACCGGCAUUGACGCUGAGGAGCGAAAGCCAGGGGAGCAAACGGG